AGGGGUUUUGUUUCUUAGUUUGGGGGCUUGCUUCGAUCCCAACAUUUCUCCUUCCUAUUGCAUUUUUUUUGGUAGGACUUAGUCCCCUGAAGUUCUCUCUGACCUUGACUGCAACCUCUGGAGACUUUUAGUUUGUUGUCAACAGAGGAGCUGAGGAUAGUUCACUCUCACUAUACACAGUUUGUCUUCUCAGGAUUUGCUUCCAACUCUACUACCAUAUCAAGUUCUAAAGUUUUUUUCCUUGAAGGGGUGUGAGCAAAACGAUGGCUUAAUCCACUGAAAUCUUACCUCUUAACUCUGUAAAUACUACGUCUUAACUGUGUAUUUUCUGUAUAAUUCUAGGCACGACAGGAAUGCAUCCCAUCGAGGGAUGCAAAAAUCGCUAGAGACCUUCAACGAGCCUUCCAGUUGAGACUUGAAUGUGAAAACUUCCUGCUUACCAAAAUGUUGCGUACGAUGUUAUGCAGUUGCCUGGAAAAAACCAAGCGCAAAGAAACCCUUGGCUUAAGCUGAAGUUACCCUUCACUACAGUUCAUCUCAAGCACAAACAGCAAAACAGCCACAAGAUAAGUAUAAGCUUCAGCCAUCACUUCCCCUCCCAUGUACACCGAUGGCAUUCAGCACUAAACCGCACCAUACCCGUUCUUUGCUGUUGGUUCCUGAUUUUUGCUAUGAUUCUGUGAUUCAUGGCUUGUCUUGGUAGCUUAGGUGGUGCAGUCUUUUUUGGAAUAAGCAAGAAGAUCAGUGACAAAAGAUAAUCUGUCUUUAGGAAAAGAUUAUUCACUAUUUUUUCGGCAAAUAUCAGUUCAGUGCUUGCCGUACGUAGCAUAAAACAUGCUGUAGAAUUUGAGGCCAGGUGUCCAAAGAGGAAAUGCACCUGUUCCAUGGGGAUUUGUUCCUCCAGAGUUACUGCUUUGCAGUGCCUGGUGCUGUGUAGUAGUAGUGUGCCAAUAAAUCACUGGUUUGGACAUAAAAGGAAAGCAGAGACUUUGGGUUGAAGAGGUCUACAGGGGGCUGUUUAGCACAGGAGUCAUUUGUGGAUUGCCUGAAGGUGUUCAGUGUGUAGCCCCCAGAAUGUCUUCCACUUGCUUUAGAAAUGCUGUUGACGGAUAAGCAAUUGUGGAAAAAAUGGGUUUCUUCCUUUGCACCUAGCCCUUCCGUUGUUAUGUUCCCUUGGAAAUUUUAAAGUCUCUGUCUGGAUUGCAGUCCCUUGUGUUGCCUGUCAUGUCCUUGCCUUAUUUUGCCCUGUCUGCUGUAAAAGUAACACCAGGAAUCUUGUCAAUUUUCCCCCCAGCCACUGCUAAACUUACAAGUGGAUCUGCUGGAUCUUCAAAAAAUCUUCAUGUGGAGCACGGACGCGGUCCCUGUGGGAAUAACAGGUUUGCCACUCUCGGGAUGAGGGUGUAAAAAAUGGCUCAUUUAGGGAGCUUUCAUAUGCAGCAAUGUCCUCACUCCCGACAGA